UGGGCGCAAGCCUGAUGCAGCGACGCCGCGUGAGGGAUGACGGCCUUCGGGUUGUAAACCUCUUUCAGCAGGGACGAAGCGUGAGUGACGGUACCUGCAGAAGAAGCACCGGCCAACUACGUGCCAGCAGCCGCGGUAAUACGUAGGGUGCAAGCGUUGUCCGGAAUUACUGGGCGUAAAGAGCUCGUAGGCGGUUUGUCGCGUCGUCUGUGAAAACCAGCAGCUCAACUGUUGGCUUGCAGGCGAUACGGGCAGACUUGAGUAUUUCAGGGGAGACUGGAAUUCCUGGUGUAGCGGUGAAAUGCGCAGAUAUCAGGAGGAACACCGGUGGCGAAGGCGGGUCUCUGGGAAAUAACUGACGCUGAGGAGCGAAAGCGUGGGUAGCGAACAGGAUUAGAUACCCUGGUAGUCCACGCCGUAAACGGUGGGCGCUAGGUGUGGGUUUCCUUCCACGGGAUCCGUGCCGUAGCUAACGCAUUAAGCGCCCCGCCUGGGGAGUACGGCCG
rnacentral:rRNA from 1 species